GAGUUUGAUCAUGGCUCAGAUUGAACGCUGGCGGCAGGCCUAACACAUGCAAGUCGAACGGUAACAGGAAGAAGCUUGCUUCUUUGCUGACGAGUGGCGGACGGGUGAGUAAUGUCUGGGAAACUGCCUGAUGGAGGGGGAUAACUACUGGAAACGGUAGCUAAUACCGCAUAACGUCGCAAGACCAAAGAGGGGGACCUUCGGGCCUCUUGCCAUCGGAUGUGCCCAGAUGGGAUUAGCUAGUAGGUGGGGUAACGGCUCACCUAGGCGACGAUCCCUAGCUGGUCUGAGAGGAUGACCAGCCACACUGGAACUGAGACACGGUCCAGACUCCUACGGGAGGCAGCAGUGGGGAAUAUUGCACAAUGGGCGCAAGCCUGAUGCAGCCAUGCCGCGUGUAUGAAGAAGGCCUUCGGGUUGUAAAGUACUUUCAGCGGGGAGGAAGGGAGUAAAGUUAAUACCUUUGCUCAUUGACGUUACCCGCAGAAGAAGCACCGGCUAACUCCGUGCCAGCAGCCGCGGUAAUACGGAGGGUGCGAGCGUUAAUCGGAAUUACUGGGCGUAAAGCGCACGCAGGCGGUUUGUUAAGUCAGAUGUGAAAUCCCCGGGCUCAACCUGGGAACUGCAUCUGAUACUGGCAAGCUUGAGUCUCGUAGAGGGGGGUAGAAUUCCAGGUGUAGCGGUGAAAUGCGUAGAGAUCUGGAGGAAUACCGGUGGCGAAGGCGGCCCCCUGGACGAAGACUGACGCUCAGGUGCGAAAGCGUGGGGAGCAAACAGGAUUAGAUACCCUGGUAGUCCACGCCGUAAACGAUGUCGACUUGGAGGUUGUGCCCUUGAGGCGUGGCUUCCGGAGCUAACGCGUUAAGUCGACCGCCUGGGGAGUACGGCCGCAAGGUUAAAACUCAAAUGAAUUGGCGGGGGCCCGCACAAGCGGUGGAGCAUGUGGUUUAAUUCGAUGCAACGCGAAGAACCACCUGGUCUUGACAUCCACGGAAGUUUUCAGAGAUGAGAAUGUGCCUUCGGGAACCGUGAGACAGGUGCUGCAUGGCUGUCGUCAGCUCGUGUUGUGAAAUGUUGGGUUAAGUCCCGCAACGAGCGCAACCCUUAUCCUUUGUUGCCAGCGGUCCGGCCGGGAACUCAAAGGAGACUGCCAGUGAUAAACUGGAGGAAGGUGGGGAUGACGUCAAGUCAUCAUGGCCCUUACGACCAGGGCUACACACGUGCUACAAUGGCGCAUACAAAGAGAAGCGACCUCGCGAGAGCAAGCGGACCUCAUAAAGUGCGUCGUAGUCCGGAUUGGAGUCUGCAACUCGACUCCAUGAAGUCGGAAUCGCUAGUAAUCGUGGAUCAGAAUGCCACGGUGAAUACGUUCCCGGGCCUUGUACACACCGCCCGUCACACCAUGGGAGUGGGUUGCAAAAGAAGUAGGUAGCUUAACCUUCGGGAGGGCGCUUACCACUUUGUGAUUCAUGACUGGGGUGAAGUCGUAACAAGGUA
rnacentral:rRNA from 1 species